UUUUUCUUCUCUACACCUUCAUGCAAUACACCCAUAUGGAAGCCUUUUCUCCCCCUUUACCUUAGGUUCUUAGCAAAAUUAUGAAUUGGUGAUGGUUCAUUCUUCCUUCCUUAAGCCCUAGCCUCCCUUACUCUUCCAAACUUUAUUUCACAUACUGACAACUCUUAGGUCUCUAAUCCCUUUUUAUCUCAAAAACCUAAUUUAAUCUUUAGGCAAUUAUACUAAGGUUCAACUUAUCCCUUAAUUCUCAUCACUCCCUUAUUUUC
rnacentral:lncRNA from 1 species